UACAGAGGGUGCGAGCGUUAAUCGGAAUUACUGGGCGUAAAGCGUGCGUAGACGGUUAUUUAAGUCGGGUGUGGAAGCCCCGGGCUCAACCUGGGAAUUGCGCUUGAAACUAGCGGGCUUGAGUGUGGCAGAGGGGGGUGGAAUUCCACGUGUAGCAGUGAAAUGCGUAGAGAUGUGGAGGAACACCGGUGGCGAAGGCGGCAUCCUGGACUGUAACUGACACUGAGGAACGAAAGCCAGGGGAGCAAACGGG
rnacentral:rRNA from 1 species